UACGGGGGGAGCAAGCGUUGUUCGGAUUUACUGGGCGUAAAGGGCGCGUAGGCGGCCAGCACAAGUCAGUUGUGAAAUCUCCGAGCUUAACUCGGAACGGUCAACUGAUACUGUGCGGCUAGAGUGCGGAAGGGGCAACUGGAAUUCUUGGUGUAGCGGUGAAAUGCGUAGAUAUCAAGAGGAACACCUGCGGCGAAGGCGGGUUGCUGGGCCGACACUGACGCUGAGACACGAAAGCGUGGGUAGCAAACAGG
rnacentral:rRNA from 1 species